rnacentral:lncRNA from 1 species
AAUUUCCUCUCAAAAAGGUACAAGCUGAAUGAGUCCACCCUAUUUCAUAUACAAGAAGGCUGGAAGGGCAGCAGCCAGGAGCCUGCCUACAUGCCUGGCAGCACCUUUUAGUGACCACAGCUGCAGACCAGGACUUCCUGCAGGGCUGGGAAUGGCAGAGGCAGAAAAAGGAGUUUGGCAGCUGGCUUGCUCCAUCCUUCCCCUGGAGACCAGGAAAUGCAGAAUGUCUUUCCCAGGCUAAGCAGAAGCAGAUAUACUGUAGCAGUGCAAGGAGAUAGAUUUAUAUAAUUUCAAAGAACAAAACACGAAGAAAGAACCUUUGAAAUAAA